rnacentral:rRNA from 1 species
CGUUUGGUGGUCAUAGCGUUGGCUAAACACCCGAUCCCAUCCCGAACUCGGCCGUUAAGGGCCAACACGCCGAUGGUACUGCGUCUCAAGACGUGGGAGAGUAGGUCACCGCCAAACC